rnacentral:rRNA from 1 species
GACGAACGCUGGCGGCGUGCUUAACACAUGCAAGUCGAACGGAAAGGCCCUGCUUUUGUGGGGUGCUCGAGUGGCGAACGGGUGAGUAACACGUGAGUAACCUGCCCUUGACUUUGGGAUAACGUCAGGAAACUGGGGCUAAUACCGGAUAGGAGCUCCUGCUGCAUGGUGGGGGUUGGAAAGUUUCGGCGGUUGGGGAUGGACUCGCGGCUUAUCAGCUUGUUGGUGGGGUAGUGGCUUACCAAGGCUUUGACGGGUAGCCGGCCUGAGAGGGUGACCGGCCACAUUGGGACUGAGAUACGGCCCAGACUCCUACGGGAGGCAGCAGUGGGGAAUAUUGCACAAUGGGCGGAAGCCUGAUGCAGCAACGCCGCGUGCGGGAUGACGGCCUUCGGGUUGUAAUCCGCUUUCGCCUGUGACGAAGCGUGAGUGACGGUAAUGGGUAAAGAAGCACCGGCUAACUCCGUG